UACUUUGUGUUGAAGAACAUUAGAGUUGUAAGUAACGUUGAGGGGGAGUGAGCUCCCAGCUGUUUACAUUCCCACAGCAUCUCCUCAGUCACAUGACUGGGAAUUACAUAACCUAGUGGAUGAACAGAUGGUCUCCAUGGUUCCAAAAUGUGGUGCAAACUUUGAGCAAACCGUGUGUAAUACUGAUCUGAGAAAAUGUCAUCUACUCUACCGUUAUCAAAAAGAUACUGUAGAGCAAAAGGGAGUCAAUUACAAAGUUCAAUUGAUUAUAUAACUCAAUAGUGAGUGGGCUUACUUUUUGCAUGCAGAGGAAGAUAUAAUAGAGAACAUCUGCCUCAUAUGACUCUCCUUCCAGCCCACGGGCUUCAGUUGUCAUAUAACAUAGGCCCAAGCAGAGCUCAGCUACUGCACAAGACACUAAAUCUUCCUGGAAACGCAAGGCCUGGCGCCCUUAGGAGAGCACAAUUUUGCAGGAAUUAAUACAGCAUUAGCUCAAACAAAGUCAUAUAUAUGCUAUAUACCUACUUCCAAUUGGAGCCAGUUUAUUUUUAUCAGAUUUAUCCAAGUCAGCAUUUUUUCUCUGGGCCCACAGACGCCACACCUCCAGUCCCUCUUCUGGCUUCAACGUUGCUGGAAGCAGCAGCUCCUGAACAUGCACCUGCUGUUGGCCUUGGCCAUCCACUUCUGCUACUGCCACGGUCUGGCCCUUCACAAACAAACAUUUAUCUCAAACGAAAUAUUAUAAAUGUAGAAUACUGCAUGAAAAUUACUAAUACCUGCAACUGCUGUGCCUCCUGGCCUGUCAGCCCUUGUGUGUGCAGCACCUGCUGCUGAGGAUCCCAGAUCAGGGACUGUGUGGCAUUAGAGUAGCCCUGUACUGCCACUGGGAUGUGGAUGUUCCCAUUCAUGAGCUGAGCAGGGAAUAAAGUAUUUGCAGCAAGUGUGUGCACCACUUCCUCUUGUGUCCCCAUACCAACAGAGUUAGUUAUGCUGGAGACAGCCUGAGCAGUACUAGUUUGAAUUGAAUUAUUUUUCAGUUUGUCAUUUUCAACAGUAACUUGGGUGGGCAUUGUUGUCAUUGUUGUAGUAUUAGCUCCAGCUACUUGCACUGCUCCAUAAGCCUCUUGGGGAAUGGCGAUGUGUGUGACUUGCUCUCGACCAGAUCCAGCAGGAGCCGAAUAGACUGGGAUGGUCCAUGUCUCACCUGUGGGGCUAGUGAUUGUUCCUGUAGCACUGUACAAAUGGGAACUAUCCACAGUUAGGAGGUCAGGCCGCAGAGACACAUAACUCUGCUGCUGACCUUGGCCCUGGGGAAUAGCCAACACUGUGGCCACCUGCUGGCCAGGCAGAGCAUAAGACACUGUGAUAGGCAUGUCCACCUUGCGCUUCUUGGCAGGCUGUAAAACACCAGCUCCUUGGGAUGUGGCUACAGUUGUCCCAAGCACCCUCCGUUCAUUGUCCUGCUGCUGGGUUGGAGACAAUGCACCGACUGUCUGAAUCUGAAUCUGCUGUCCUCCUGCAACCGCCGCCACCAACUGAGCUUGGAG
ensembl:lncRNA